rnacentral:rRNA from 1 species
GAUAACCCCGGGAAACUGGGUAUAAUACCCGAUAGGUCUCGAUUGCUGGAAUGCAUCGAGAUUUAAAGCUCCGGCGCCUAAGGAUGGGUCUGCGGCCUAUCAGGUAGUAGUGGGUGUAGCGUACCUACUAGCCUACGACGGGUACGGGUUGUGAGAGCAAGAGCCCGGAGAUGGAUUCUGAGACACGAAUCCAGGCCCUACGGGGUGCAGCAGGCGCGAAAACUUUACAAUGCUGGCAACAGCGAUAAGGGAACCUCGAGUGCCAGGUUACAAAUCUGGCUGUCGAGAUGCCUAAAAAGCAUUUCAUAGCAAGGGCCGGGCAAGACCGGUGCCAGCCGCCGCGGUAACACCGGCGGCUCGAGUGGUAACCGUUAUUAUUGGGUCUAAAGGGUCUGUAGCCGGCCGGACAAGUCUCUUGAGAAAUCUGGCAGCUUAACUGUCAGGCUUUCAGGAGAUACUGUCUGGCUCGAGGCCGGGAGAGGUGAGAGGUACUUCAGGGGUAGGGGUGAAAUCUUGUAAUCCUUGAAGGACCACCAGUGGCGAAGGCGUCUCACCAGAACGGACCUGACGGCAAGGGACGAAAGCUAGGGGCACGAACCGGAUUAGAUACCCGGGUAGUCCUAGCCGUAAACGAUACUCGCUAGGUGUCGGCCACGGUGCGACCGUUGUCGGUGCCGUAGGGAAGCCGUGAAGCGAGCCACCUGGGAAGUACGGCCGCAAGGCUGAAACUUAAAGGAAUUGGCGGGGGAGCACCACAACGGGUGGGAGCUUGCGGUUUAUUGGAUUCAACGCCGGAAAUCUUACCGGGACCGACAGCAAUAUGAAGGCCAGGCUGAGACUUUGCCGGAUUAGCUGAAGAGGUGGUGCAU